UACGUAGGGGGCUAGCGUUGUCCGGAAUCAUUGGGCGUAAAGAGCUCGUAGGCGGUUCGAUAAGUCGGGUGUGAAAUCUCCAGGCUCAACCUGGAGACGCCACCCGAUACUGUCGUGACUAGAGUCCAGUAGGGGAGCGUGGAAUUCCUGGUGUAGCGGUGAAAUGCGCAGAUAUCAGGAGGAACACCAGCGGCGAAGGCGGCGCUCUGGGCUGGAACUGACGCUGAGGAGCGAAAGCGUGGGGAGCGAACAGG
rnacentral:rRNA from 1 species